AGCAGGGUAGCGCAGCCCGGUCAGCGCACGCGGUUCAUACCCGCGCGGUCGUCGGUUCGAAUCCGACCCCUGCAA
rnacentral:tRNA from 1 species